rnacentral:rRNA from 1 species
CCUACGGGUGGCAGCAGUGAGGAAUAUUGGUCAAUGGACGAGAGUCUGAACCAGCCAAGUAGCGUGAAGGAUGACUGCCCUAUGGGUUGUAAACUUCUUUUAUAUGGGAAUAAAAUGUUCCACGUGUGGGAUUUUGUAUGUACCAUAUGAAUAAGGAUCGGCUAACUCCGUGCCAGCAGCCGCGGUAAUACGGAGGAUCCGAGCGUUAUCCGGAUUUAUUGGGUUUAAAGGGAGCGUAGGUGGAUUGUUAAGUCAGUUGUGAAAGUUUGCGGCUCAACCGUAAAAUUGCAGUUGAAACUGGCAGUCUUGAGUACAGUAGAGGUGGGCGGAAUUCGUGGUGUAGCGGUGAAAUGCUUAGAUAUCACGAAGAACUCCGAUUGCGAAGGCAGUUCACUGGACUGCAACUGACACUGAGGCUCGAAAGUGUGGGUAUCAAACAGGAUUAGAUAACCGUGUAGUA